CGGGCUGAGGGGAGCGGCGGGGAGGUGGCGGCUGAGCGGCGGUCGCUGCCCUCAGAGCCGCGCACCCAGCAGGGCUCCCUCACUAACCCUGCUCGUUACAUCUCUUUUUCAGCUGGAUUGCACCUGACUACAAAGACAGAGCAAAGAAGGAACACUAGUAACUGGCAAGAAAGGAGACUUUCUCUCUUCCCCCCCCCCCCCACAGCCCAUGCCAGCCACACUGUACAGCCAUUGCAAACUUGACUGCAUUUGGAUUAUUCUUGGGGUGUUUUGAUGUGACUCAAAACACUGCAGGUGUUUUCAGACACUAAAGGGCAAUGAACAGGGAUUUUCUUAUGUAGCCUUUUGGCAUUUGAUGUAUAGGAAUAUCAACUGUAUAGAGAGGUGCAGGGACAUUAUUUAAGUAGACAUGAUAUAAUACUAUUAUGAAAAUAAAAGUCAUUACUUGUGUGUCAAGGUAGAGAUCAGGGUGUACCAGACUGUAAACCCUUCUGUGGGCAACACCUGUGGCUUAUGCUUUUCCAAGCCUUUAAACUGCAUUGAACAAAUUGGAAUAAAAAUGUAAUUGGAGGAA